rnacentral:rRNA from 1 species
UACGGGGGGGGUAAGCGUUGUUCGGAAUUACUGGGCGUAAAGGGUGCGCAGGCGGCCAUGUGUGUUAGGCGUGAAAGCCCGGGGCUUAACCCCGGAAUUGCACCUAAAACUACGUGGCUAGAGCAUUGGAGAGGGUAGCGGAAUUCACGGUGUAGCAGUGAAAUGCGUAGAUAUCGUGAGGAACACCAGAGGCGAAGGCGGCAUCCUGGACCGGUAUUGACGCUGAGGCGCGAAAGCCAGGGGAGCAAACGGG